GACGAACGCUGGCGGCGUGCCUAACACAUGCAAGUCGAACGGAAAGGCCCUGCUUUUGUGGGGUGCUCGAGUGGCGACCGGGUGAGUAACACGUGAGUAACCUGUCACUGCCUUUGGGAUAACUUCAGGAAACAGGGGCUCAUACCGCAAAGGAGCUACUGCUGCAUGGUGGGGGUUGGAAAGUUUCGGCGGUUGGGGAUGGAAUAGCGGCUUAUCAGCUCGAUGGUUGGGUAGUGGCUUACCAUGGUUUUGACCGGUAGCCUACCUGAGCGGAUGACCGGCCACAUUGGGACUGGGGUGCGACCCAGACUCCUACGGUAGGCAACGGUGGGGAAUAUUGCACAAGAGGCUGGGGCCUAAUGCAACAACGCCACGUGCGGGAAGACAGCCAUCGGGUUGUGUACCGCAUUCGCCUUAGACGAAGCGAUAAUGACGGUAACGGGUAAAUAAGCACCGGCUAACUACGUG
rnacentral:rRNA from 1 species